GGGGGGGGGGGGGGGCGGGCCUGGGACGUGCGGGGCGGGGGGGGAGGGGGGGGGCUGGCGCCUGGGACGGGAGCGGCGGAGGGGUGUGUAGCGCGUGGAGCACCUAGCUAUAGGACUGGGGUAACUUCGGGAAACCGGAGCGAAUACGGGGUACUAUCUUGAACCGCGUGGUUCAGUAGUGAAAGACGGUUGUGCGGUCACAUGUAGAUGGUGCAGAGCCAGCUUAGCUAGUGGGUAAGGGCACGGCUUACAAAGGAAACGAUGCGUAGCCGACCUGAGAGGGUGAUCGGACACACGGGAACUGAGACACGGUCCAGACUGCUACGGGAGGAAGCAGUAGGGAAUCUGCCGAAAUGGGCGAAAGCCUGACGUAGCAACGCCGCGUGAGUGAUGAAGGUCUUCGGAUCGUAAAACUCUGUUAUUAGGGAAGAACAAAUUUGUAAGUAACUAUGCACGUCUUGACGGUACCUAAUCAGAAAGCCACGGCUAACUACGUG
rnacentral:rRNA from 1 species